UACGUAGGGUGCAAGCGUUGUCCGGAAUUAUUGGGCGUAAAGAGCUCGUAGGCGGUCCGUCGCGUCGAAUGUGAAAACCCGGGGCUCAACCCCGGGCCUGCAUUCGAUACGGGCGGACUAGAGUUCGGUAGGGGAGACUGGAAUUCCUGGUGUAGCGGUGAAAUGCGCAGAUAUCAGGAGGAACACCGGUGGCGAAGGCGGGUCUCUGGGAUGAUGCUGACGCUGAGGCGCGAAAGCCAGGGGAGCAAACGGG
rnacentral:rRNA from 1 species